rnacentral:rRNA from 1 species
CCAGGUGAUCUACCCUUGGUCAGGUUGAAGUUCAGGUAACACUGAAUGGAGGACCGAACCGACUUACGUUGAAAAGUGAGCGGAUGAACUGAGGGUAGCGGAGAAAUUCCAAUCGAACCUGGAGAUAGCUGGUUCUCUCCGAAAUAGCUUUAGGGCUAGCCUCAAGUGAUGAUUAUUGGAGGUAGAGCACUGUUUGGACGAGGGGCCCCUCUCGGGUUACCGAAUUCAGACAAACUCCGAAUGCCAAUUAAUUUAACUUGGGAGUCAGAACAUGGGUGAUAAGGUCCGUGUUCGAAAGGGAAACAGCCCAGACCACCAGCUAAGGUCCCAAAAUAUAUGUUAAGUGGAAAAGGAUGUGGCGUUGCCCAGACAACUAGGAUGUUGGCUUAGAAGCAGCCAUCAUUUAAAGAGUGCGUAAUAGCUCACUAGUCGAGUGACACUGCGCCGAAAAUGUACCGGGGCUAAACAUAUUACCGAAGCUGUGGAUUGUCCUUUGGACAAUGGUAGGAGAGCGUUCUAAGGGCGUUGAAGCAUGAUCGUAAGGACAUGUGGAGCGCUUAGAAGUGAGAAUGCCGGUGUGAGUAGCGAAAGACGGGUGAGAAUCCCGUCCACCGAUUGACUAAGGUUUCCAGAGGAAGGCUCGUCCGCUCUGGGUUAGUCGGGUCCUAAGCUGAGGCCGACAGGCGUAGGCGAUGGAUAACAGGUUGAUAUUCCUGUACCACCUAUAAUCGUUUUAAUCGAUGGGGGGACGCAGUAGGAUAGGCGAAGCGUGCGAUUGGAUUGCACGUCUAAGCAGUAAGGCUGAGUAUUAGGCAAAUCCGGUACUCGUUAAGGCUGAACUGUGAUGGGGAGAAGACAUUGUGUCUUCGAGUCGUUGAUUUCACACUGCCGAGAAAAGCCUCUAGAUAGAAAAUAGGUGCCCGUACCGCAAACCGACACAGGUAGUCAAGAUGAGAAUUCUAAGGUGAGCGAGCGAACUCUCGUUAAGGAACUCGGCAAAAUGACCCCGUAACUUCGGGAGAAGGGGUGCUCUUUAGGGUUAACGCCCAGAAGAGCCGCAGUGAAUAGGCCCAAGCGACUGUUUAUCAAAAACACAGGUCUCUGCUAAACCGUAAGGUGAUGUAUAGGGGCUGACGCCUGCCCGGUGCUGGAAGGUUAAGAGGAGUGGUUAGCUUCUGCGAAGCUACGAAUCGAAGCCCCAGUAAACGGCGGCCGUAACUAUAACGGUCCUAAGGUAGCGAAAUUCCUUGUCGGGUAAGUUCCGACCCGCACGAAAGGCGUAACGAUUUGGGCACUGUCUCAACGAGAGACUCGGUGAAAUCAUAGUACCUGUGAAGAUGCAGGUUACCCGCGACAGGACGGAAAGACCCCGUGGAGCUUUACUGUAGCCUGAUAUUGAAAUUCGGCACAGCUUGUACAGGAUAGGUAGGAGCCUUUGAAACGUGAGCGCUAGCUUACGUGGAGGCGCUGGUGGGAUACUACCCUAGCUGUGUUGGCUUUCUAACCCGCACCACUUAUCGUGGUGGGAGACAGUGUCAGGCGGGCAGUUUGACUGGGGCGGUCGCCUCCUAAAAGGUAACGGAGGCGCUCAAAGGUUCCCUCAGAAUGGUUGGAAAUCAUUCAUAGAGUGUAAAGGCAUAAGGGAGCUUGACUGCGAGACCUACAAGUCGAGCAGGGUCGAAAGACGGACUUAGUGAUCCGGUGGUUCCGCAUGGAAGGGCCAUCGCUCAACGGAUAAAAGCUACCCCGGGGAUAACAGGCUUAUCUCCCCCAAGAGUUCACAUCGACGGGGAGGUUUGGCACCUCGAUGUCGGCUCAUCGCAUCCUGGGGCUGUAGUCGGUCCCAAGGGUUGGGCUGUUCGCCCAUUAAAGCGGUACGCGAGCUGGGUUCAGAACGUCGUGAGACAGUUCGGUCCCUAUCCGUCGUGGGCGUAGGAAAUUUGAGAGGAGCUGUCCUUAGUACGAGAGGACCGGGAUGGACAUACCUCUGGUGUACCAGUUGUCGUGCCAACGGCAUAGCUGGGUAGCUAUGUGUGGACGGGAUAAGUGCUGAAAGCAUCUAAGCAUGAAGCCCCCCUCAAGAUGAGAUUUCCCAACUUCGGUUAUAAGAUCCCUCAAAGAUGAUGAGGUUAAUAGGUUCGAGGUGGAAGCAUGGUGACAUGUGGAGCUGACGAAUACUAAUCGAUCGAAGACUUAAUCAA